CAGAGUAGGAACGGCGCGUUAAGUGUCGGCGGAUGGGAAGUUGCCGCCGGACGAAAGCCCCAUGCCGGUGUUGGUCACACGGGCAUCGACGCUGCGGUGCCGUCUCCGCAUCCGCUGC
rnacentral:ncRNA from 1 species